AAAGUCGUAACAAGGUUUCCGUAGGUGAACCUGCGGAAGGAUCAUUAAAGAGUUUUUAUGGGGUGGGUAAUCCUUAAUAGCAUUGGGGAACUUAGGGAGGAGGAGGGUAAGCUUUUAAGGCCUUAAGGGUUUUAAGGCUAAAGCCGACCUAAUUAACCGUGCUAUUAAGAUAACCACAACCUAUGCGUAUGUUGUGUUUGACUGUGUAAUAAGUGACUAAGAGACAGAGAUAACUUUUAACAAUGGAUCUCUUGGCUCUC
rnacentral:misc_RNA from 1 species